rnacentral:rRNA from 1 species
AAGCAGGGGAUCGCAAGACCUUGCGCUUUUGGAGCGGCCGAUGUCUGAUUAGCUAGUUGGUGAGGUAAAGGCUUACCAAGGCGUCGAUCAGUAGCUGGUCUGAGAGGACGACCAGCCACACUGGGACUGAGACACGGCCCAGACUCCUACGGGAGGCAGCAGUGGGGAAUUUUGGACAAUGGGGGAAACCCUGAUCCAGCCAUGCCGCGUGAGUGAAGAAGGCCUUCGGGUUGUAAAGCUCUUUCAGCCGGAACGAAACGGUCACGGCUAAUACCCGUGAUCACU